rnacentral:lncRNA from 1 species
AUGGACAGCCCACCGCCAGGCUCUACGCUCAGCUUCCCCUUAACCCCCUGCAGCACUACGGGCCGGUCCACGCGAACCGUAGAACCAACCGCUGAGUCCCCGAACCUUCCCGCCGGGGAGAGAGGACCCGCCGGCACAGCAAGGAGCGCAGCAAGGAGCGCAGCAAGGAGCGCAGCAAGGAGCGCAGCAAGGAGCGCAGCAAGGAGCGCAGCGGAGGCACGCGGCGGCUCCAGCAGCAUCGCUCCGUCCGCCCCGUCCCGCGGGCAGCGCCGGCCCGCACCGACCCCACCUGCGCGGCCUGCCCCCGGGCCGGCUUCCGGCAGCGCGGAGCGGUGCGGCGGGACACAAGGAGCUCCGCGCUGCUUUGUUCGGCGUUCCCGCACCUCAAACGCAUCCCAAAGAGCCGAGUCCCCGUCGGAACAAAACGGCGGAACGGGGAAAGGCGACAGAAACGCGCGCAUGCCCCGCACCGAGCGCGUCUCAGCCACACGUAGAGCCGGCAGCCCGCAAGGACCGAACCCGAACGCGAGAUCCCGCCCGGCCGCGGGGGCGCCGGGAGCGCGCCGCGAUACUGCGGCACAGCGCGGGGCGAGGUGCCGAGCGGCGCCCGGAGCUCUGCGGCACUGCGCCCGGCCCCGUCUCGCCGAGCGCCGUCCCCGACACCCGCCCCGGCUCCCGCCGCCCUCCCGCACUUGCCUUCGCCUCAUGCCGCCCGUGGCGCUGCCGGCGGGGCUCGGCGCGGCCCGACUCGGCCCUGCCCGCCGCGGACGGAGGGGCGGCGGCGCGCGCGCGCACACCUUGCCAGCCCGCGCGUCUCGCUCCGUAGCGCCUCGUUCCGUAGCGCCCCGCCUCGAGCAUCGGGAGCGGAGGGCGCCGAGAGGGAGGAGCGCGGGACGGAGAAACGCCCCCAACUCCCGCCCCGCUGUAUCGUGGGCGGGAGGGCAGCGGCUCCUGCCGCCGGGCACGCGGAGCUCCGAACGGGUUAAAACGAGCACGCAGUCGGGCACCGCGCGCAGCCACAAAGGGACGAGCUGCCCCCAGCCCCCCCGCGCUGCGCGGCGAUGGUUCGCUCCCCGCUCUAGAAUCAAACAGGCCCGGAGCCCAUUGGCCGCGCGGCGGGGCGAGGCCGGGGCGCGCCAAAGCCGGCGGAGCGGAGAUGGGGAAGGAAGGAAGGGAGGGGGCGGGGACGAGGCGCCGCCGCUUAAAGACACCGGGAAGGCGCCGCGGGAGCGCGCCACGGCAACCGUUGUGGUGCGCGUGUCCGCCCGCAAACCGAGAUACCUCCCGGCUGUAACUGCACGCUGCCCUCACGGCCAUACGCGGGCUUCAUUAACCGCCGCGUGGGGUGGGAGGAAAGUGUGGAUCAGAGCUUGCCAUGGCUGGAGAGGAGCUUAUAAAGGCACAGCGAGGAAGAGCUAA